CGAGGAACACGCGGGUGAAUACUGUCUCUGCAGGAGGGUGAUGUGGUGAAGAUCUACAGCAAAACUGGAGCCAAUGGCUGGUGGAGGGGUGAAGUCAAUGGACGAGUGGGCUGGUUCCCCUCCACAUACGUAGAAGAAGGCGAGGAGUGAACGGCUCAGCGAUCAUGCACAAGAGAAAGGAAAAAGAGG